AUGGGGCACCAGUCGAGGUCAUCGGUGUGUCUGGAAUUAUGCUAGUUAGGCUGAAGCUGGAGGCCUCGAUGCUGAGGGAUCCCACGUUGGUGAACGAGUUAUUCUCCAGACUGCUCCUCCCUGUCGAUGUGAACAAGCUGCUAAGCAUUUCUUGGAGGGAGAUAAGGAGAAGAGCAGUGGAUUACCUCAUCCGGAUAUUUAUAGACUUUCUUAUUUAGCACUUACUGUAUACUCAUUUAUUACUUAUGAGUUUUUUUUCUUCAAUUGCC
rnacentral:lncRNA from 1 species